UAUCAGUUAAUUGUUGGCCAUGCAGUGAACCCUCGCUGUUUACGGAGAUCAGGGACCAAGCUCUAAUGCGAAUAUCAAAUGUUUGCAGGUAAUUGAAUAUGGUAUUCAUAGCAUUUAUGCAAGUUUGUUUUUGUUUUGUUGUUUUUUUUACAUUCACACUUUAAUGUAAUUCUAACAAAUUCAAAAAUAUAUUAUUUUGAGUAGUAGGAAGAGAAAUGGAAAACACCAAAAUAUUGUACAGUGCAACAGUGUGCGUAUCCCUGUAUUUGCAGUAAACAAAUUGUAUUUAUUUUCCCAAACUAACACUUCCAUGAUCUCAAAGUCAGAGGUGGUAAAUCCAGGUCCAGAAGUAAAAACCUUGCCACAGUUUAGCUUUAGCCACAGGUUGCUUCUACUCAUCUGGCAAGUAAACAAGCUCAUUUACCUAAUUGAGCAAACUAGCUGUCUCUUUGACUUAAAUUGCCUCCAAUUAACCUCCAAACUUUUUUUUCUCCUUCUCACUAAGCAGAGAAGGGAGGGGUGAGCAGUUAUGCAUGGAGGUGGAGGGACGGAGCAAGACUGAAGAGACUGCAAACACAGAUGCUUGCUUUAACUUAGGGGCAUUGUCAAUAAUAGUAGCCCAUGGGUCUGUUAAAAAAAAAUAAUAAAAAUAAAAACGCUGACCGGUGAUAGGCCAUUGACUUAGUAAGAAUAUUUAAAAUAAAAUGAUUAUCUAUUUAAGCUCACUGUGUGUUUUCGCUGGGCCAAAUAUUCAGUAUUAUGUAAAAUAAUAUAGAUAGAUAAAUCUAAAUAAAAUAGUGUGCGUUCAAUGGGGAAAAACAUAUUUACCCAAAUAUUUCAGAAAAGGUUAUUUUAGAGCUAUGUUUUUAAUAGAGUCAUACCGUGAUAUUUUUGCUAUCCGAAUACAAUAGUCCAUGUCUAUCUGGACU